GGAGGUGGACUAGGUGGAGGUGCGGGAGGUGGAGUAGGUGGCGGAGGAGGUCUUGGGGGAGGAGCAGGUGGUGGAGGUGGAGGAGGACUAGGGGGAGGAGCAGGUGGUGGUGCUGGUGGUGGAGCUGGUGGCGGAACUGGAGGAGGUGUUGGUGGAGGUGGUGGAUUUGGUGGUGGUGGAGGAGGAGGUGUAGGUGGAGGUUCAGGUCAUGGUGGUGGAUUUGGAGCAGGAGGAGGUGUAGGAGGUGGUGCAGGAGGAGGGCUUGGUGGUGGAGCUGGUGGAGGUGGAGGUAGUGGUGGUGGAGGAGGUAUCGGAGGUGGUUCUGGACAUGGUGGAGGAUUUGGAGCGGGAGGUGGUGUAGGUGGUGGCGUUGGAGAAGGUGCUGGAGGUGGAGGAGGAGGAGGCGGUGGUGGUGGAGG